ACGAACGCUGGCGGCGUGCUUAACACAUGCCAGUCGAACGGAAAGGCCCUGCUUUUGUGGGGUGCUCGAGUGGCGAACGGGUGAGUAACACGUGAGUAACCUGCCCUUGACUUUGGGAUAACUUCAGGAAACUGGGGCUAAUACCGGAUAGGAGCUCCUGCUGCAUGGUGGGGGUUGGAAAGUUUCGGCGGUUGGGGAUGGACUCGCGGCUUAUCAGCUUGUUGGUGGGGUAGUGGCUUACCAAGGCUUUGACGGGUAGCCGGCCUGAGAGGGUGACCGGCCACAUUGGGACUGAGAUACGGCCCAGACUCCUACGGGAGGCAGCAGUGGAGAAUAUUGCACAAUGGGCGGAAGCCUGAUGCAGCAACGCCGCGUGCGGGAUGACGGCCUUCGGGUUGUAAACCGCUUUCGCCUGUGACGAAGCGUGAGUGACGGUAAUGGGUAAAGAAGCACCGGCUAACUACGUG
rnacentral:rRNA from 1 species